GUCCCAGCUACUCGGGAGGCUGAGGCAGGAGAAUGGCAUGACCCCGGGAGGCGGAGCUGGCAGUGAGCCAAGAUUUCGCCACUGCACUCUAGCCUGGGUGACAGAGCAGAAAGUAAAGAAACAAAAGAAUAGUUACUCCACAGGUAGAGCAGCCAGGAAGGCUGCUGGUUGUCCAUUUUUAUGGUUUUUUUUUUUUUUUUUUUUUUUGAAAGAGAGUCUUGCUCUGUUGCCCAGGAUGGAGUGCAGUGGCACAAUCUCAGCUCACUGCAAGCUGUGCCUCCCAGGUUCACGCCAUUCUCCUGCCUCAGCCUCCCGAGUAGCUGGGACUACAGGCACCCGCAACCACGCCCGGCUAAUUUUUAGGAUGACUCUCAUUGCCAUCUUGGUAUUGGUGAGUUUUGGCCAACUUCUUUACUGAAAACUCUUUUAUCAGCAAGGUCUUUAUGACCUGUAUCUUGUGCUGACUUCCUAUCUCAUCCUGUGACUUAGAAUGCGUAAUCGUCUGGGAAUGCAGCCCAUUAGGUCUCGGCCUUAUUUUACCCAGAACUUAUUCAAGAUGGAGUUGCUCUGGUUCAAACGUCUCUGACACCUGUUCUGAGUUGUGAGGGCUGGAAUGAGAUAAAUAUAAGAAUGUACAUGCUGGCCAGGCAAGGUGGCUCACGCCUGUAAUCCAAGCACUUUGGGAGGCCGAGGCGGGUGGAUCACUAAGUCAGGAGUUCGAGACCAGCCUGGCCAAUAUGGUGAAACCCCAUCUCUACUAAAAAUACAAAAAUUAGCUGGGCGUGGUGGCAUGCCCCUGUAGUCGCAGCUGCUCAGGAGGCUGAGGCACAAGAAUCACUUGAACCUGGGUGGCGCAGGUUGCAGUGAGACCAGAUCAUGCCACUGCAUUCUAGCCUGGUCGACAGGGCAAGACUCCAUCUCAAAAAAUCCAGAAAACUUUCUAUUAGAAGUGCCCCAUCCUGGCUGCACAUCAGAAUCACCUAUGAGAUUUUUGAAGAAUAUAAAUGAAUGCCAGGUCUCCACCCAAGAUCUACUAAAUUGCAGUUUCUGGGGUGAGGGUUUAGUCAUGGAUAUCUUUAAAAUGUUAAACAGGUAAUUCUCAUUUACAGCUUGAGCUGAGAACCUUUGCUACAAAGGUAAGGAAUCAGUCCCAGGAGAACCCUUUUAAUCUGAUCUGAUUUAUGAAUCAGAGCAAAUGUAUGUAAAACAAACAAGUGAGUAAGGCUGUUGGCCUGUUUAGCAUAUUUGUUUAAGUUCUCAAGGUAACCAAAAAAUCAAAGGAAACAGAAGAAAGAUUAAUCCUGAUGACAAGGAAUGGUCUAACAGCUUCUUCAUGACCUAUAGCAGUGUUUCUUAAACUUCAUUUUUUUUUUUUAACAGCGUCUUGCUCUAAAUAACCCAGGUUAGAGUGCAGUGGCACAAUCUCAGCUCUCUGCAGCCUCCACUUCCUGGACUCAAGGAAUCCUCCCACAUCAGCCUCCUGAGUAGCUGGGCCUACAGGCACAUGCCACCACACCUGGCUUUUUUUGUUGUUGAGACAGAGGCUUGCUAUGUUACUCAGGCUGCUCUCAAACUGGCUCGAAAGGAUUUUCCCACCUCUGCCUCCCAAUGUGCUGAGAUUACAGACAUGAGUCACUGUGCCCAGCCUCUUGAACUUCUAUGAAAGCAAAACCCAUAUAUAUAAAAUAGAUUAACAGCAAAGCAGCUGUGAUUACAACUGGGCAGAGGGUCCCAGAUCCUGGCCCUCUCUCCCUAUGUCCUUUGUCACCUUUUUCUUGACUGUCCUCCUAAAACAAUACCAGGUUUCCUUAAGAUUUCAUUUUAAAACCACUGCUGGCCAGGCGCGUGUGGGCUCACACCUGUAAUCCCAACACUUUGGGAGGCUGAGGCAGAUGGAUCACCUGAGGUCAGGAGUUUGAGACCAGCCUGACCAACAUGGAGAAACACUGUCUCUACUAAAAAUACAAAAUUACCUGUGCGUGGUGGCACAUGCCUAUAAUCCCAGCUACUUGGGAGGCUGAGACAGGAGAACUGCUUGAACCCAGGAGGUGGAGGUUGCAGUGAGCCAAGAUCAUGCCAUUGCACUCUAGCCUGGAAAACAAGAGCAAAAUCUCUGUCUCAAAAAAAAAGAAAGAAAAAAAAAUUGCUAGUCAUGUGCUUUUGAACUUGGUUAAGUGAUUGAACUAACAAAAUCGUCCAGGGACAAGUAUUUCCCCCAAACUUUACUUCUCAAUCCCAACAUCUCAGGGCGUCCCUUAAGCGUAUCACUUGUGACUUGACCACAUCUUCACAGACACAUUCUGCAUCCAUUACUCCGAAGGCCAAAUUUAGUAUGCAUCUGUCCAUUCUUUUCUUAGCUGUAUCCUCACAAAAAAAGACAGAUCAAUAUACUGGAAAAGACAGCUCAAGGAGUUUAUUUCCUUUUAAAACUCAUUUGCCAUUAAACAAAUAAGCCGAGAGUUCUCAAAUGUGGAAAAUGGCUUUGUCAAGUUUAUGUGCUCCCUUUAUUUCAAGUUAAGGUUAACAGAAUGGCACACACACUCUACUAAGGUCUGACAUGCCCCUCUUGGGUCCUUUUUAACUGCUCUAAAGUGUAGAUAUGAAGAGCAUGAUUCCUAAAUUGUCCUCCUCAAGAGGAAAUUCAUAUUUCCUCCUCCUCAGAGUAAGGACUGAAUAAAAUUAUGUGGUUUAAGUUUGUCCUGUUUACCCCAAUACUAUACUGCUAUUUCUCUUUUAAAAACAAGCAGAAUCCCAGCACUUUGGGAAGCGAAAGCAAAAGAACUGCUUGAGCCCAGGAGUUCAAGACCAGCCUGGGCAAUGUGGCAAGAUCCCAUCUCUACAAAAAAAAAAUACAAAAACUUUUUUUUUUUUUAGACAGAGUCUAGCUCUGUCUCCCAGGCUGGAGUGCAGUGGCAUGAUCUCGGCUCGCUGCAACCUCUGCCUCCUAGGUUCAAGCGAUCCUUCUGCCUCAGCCUCCCGAGCAGCGGGACUACAGGUGCAUACCAACAUGCCUGGCUAAUUUUUGUAUUUUUAGUAGAGAUGGGGUUUCACCACACUGGCCAGGCUGGUCUUGAACUCCUGACCUCGUGAUCCACCCACCUCGGCCUCCCCAAGUGCUGGGAUUACUGGCGUGAGCCACCACCCCCAGACAAACUUUCUCUUUUUUUUGAGAUGGAAUCUCCCUCUGUUGCCCAGGCUGGAGUUCAAUGGCCGAAUCUCGGCUCACUGCAGCCUCUGCCUCCCGGUUUCAUGAGAUUCUCUUGCCUCAGCCUCCCAAGUAGCUGAGAUUACAUGCGCCCACCACCAGUGCCUGGCUAAUUUUUGUAGUUUUAGUAGAGAUGGGGUUUCGCCAUGUUGGCCAGGCUUGUCUCAAACUUCCAACCUCAGGUGAUCUGCCUGCCUCAGCCUCCCAAAGUACUGGGGUUACAGGUGUGAGCUACCGUGCCCGGCCAAUUUUUUGUUUGUUUGUUUGUUUGUUUAUUUAGAGACACGGUCUUGCUCUGUUGCCCAGAUUGGAGUGCAGUGGCGUGAUCUCCAUUCACUGAAACCUCCACCUCCCAGGUUCAAGCAAUUGUCUUGCCUCAACCUCCCAAGUAGCUGGGAUUACAGGCACCCACCAACACGCCCGGAUAAUUUUUGUAUUUUUAGUAGAGACGGGGUUUCACCGUGUUAGCCAGGCUGGCCUUGAACUCCUGACCUCAAGUGAUCCACCUGCCUCAGCCUCCCAAAGUGUUGGGAUUACAGGCGUAAGCCACCGUGCCCGGCCUACAAUUUUUUGUAUUUUUGUAUGUAUGGUGGUGUGUGCCUGUGGUCCAAACUACUCAAGAGGCUGAGGCAGGAGGAUUGCUUGAGCCCAAAGGUUUAGGCUGCAGUGAACCAUGAUCAUGCCACUGCACUCCAGCCUGGGUGACAGAGCAAGACCCUGUUUCAAAAAAAUAAAAAACCAAAAAAAAACCCAUUACCCAUCUGUCCUGUUCUCCUAGAGAAGAAUUUAGCCUCCUUCGCAAAGAUAUUUGUUAAAAUUAUAAAUACAUAACUUCAAAGGGUAUCCCCAGAAAAAAUGUGGAAAAAUUCUUCCCUUAACAUUCUAAAUUCUGUAACUUGUGGCAAAUUUAGCCACAUAAUAUGCCUUUAAAAUAUGAACGGUAAAAAUACAUAUAUAUAUAUAUAUAUAUAUAUAUAUAUAUAUAUAUAUAUAAUGUAUAUAGUUUUUGAGACGGAGUCUCCCUCUGUCACCCAAGCUGGAGUGCAGCAGCGAAAUCUCGGCUCACUGCAAGCUCCACCUCCCUGGUUCACGUCAUUCUCCUGCCUCAGCCUCC
rnacentral:lncRNA from 1 species